UCAGGUCUCCCAGGAGAGAAGGGGGAGAGGGGGAGUCAAGGUGUGGGGACACAGGGCCCCAGAGGUCCCCCAGGACCACCAGGUCUUCUAGGAGAGGGGCGUACAGGCAGCCAAGGCCCCGCCGGUAGACCAGGCAACCAGGGUACCCCAGGGCGACCAGGCACCCCUGGAUCCACGGGCCCUGCUGGUGCUGCUGGCUACUGCGACCAGAACUCCUGUUUGGGCUACAACGUUGGAGAUGCUACCCCGGGCAACAAGCUAACAACCCCAGACAACAAGCUAACAACCCCGGGCAACAAGCUAACAACCCCGGGCAACAAGCUAACAACCCCAGACAACAAGCUAACAACCCGACAACAAGCUAACAACCCCAGGCAACAAGCUAACAACCCCGGGCAACAAGCUAACAACCCCGGGCAACAAGCUAACUUAGCGGUGGUGGUUUAGAAAGAGGUUGCUAGUGAUGACACCCCAUUGAUCCAGAUGUUCCCCACCAUAGUACAACAACUCCCCCACACCAACUACCAAAACUAUCACCCCACUGCCCGUUUUGACCCCCGUGGAAAUUACAACAACGAUGAUGAAGACGAUGAGGAAGAUGAGGAGGAAGAGGACCCGUUCGCUGGGUAUAGAGGCUACCCACCUCAGUACUACCAGCCCAGUUACCCUCACCCCCCUGCACCCCAAUCCCACUCCCAGGACACUGAGCUAAGGUCCCCAGGGAUAAUGAUGAGCCGUUUCUCCAGAGACGUGGUCACACAGAGAAGAGACACCGCUAAUACAGCCCAGACAGGACAGACAGACCAGACUGGACAGAGGAGUGAAGCUGCAGCAGAUACUGAAGGAGAGGUGGAGGUGAUUGGAGAAGUCCAGACAGGACAGACUGGACAGAGGAGCGAAGCUGCAGCAGAUACUGAAGGAGAGGUGGAGGUGAUUGGAGAAGUCCAGACAGGACAGACUGGACAGAGGAGCGAAGCUGCAGCAGAUACUGAAGGAGAGGUGGAGGUGAUUGGAGAAGUCCAGACAGGACAGACAGUCCAACCACCUCUCUAUGUCCCUGUGGGUUGAUGAAGAUGUCAAAAAUAUGUUCGGUAUGCGUCAGUUGCCCCCGUGUCGCUAGCCAGGGUCUCCUGUAUGCUAUUCCUGUAUGAGAGCGCUGUCAGAUUAGGAUAUACCCGAAAAGUGCCUGAUUUCUGUAAAUGCUGGUGUGUGGGAUGUAGGGGGACUGAGGAAGACAAACUAUCCCCAGUGACGUACAUUAAAAUCACUUACCUUUCUAGUGAAGUUGCAUGCAGCCUUUCAGCCAGCGCAUCAAGGAUGACUGGACUGUGUCUUUGGGUUGAUGUGUCAUAAAGUCAAACGUCUUUUUGUAAUUUGAGAUGAUGAACGGAUGACAUUUGAACAGUCUGUCAGCUCUUUAUAACCAGGUGUCAUUUACAUUAUAGUGCUUCCAUGUUGACUUUACCCUCCAUCUUUAAGUUGUCAAGCCAGUUCUCACAAUGAUUUUUCACUAUUUGUGUACAGUGUCCUCUCUUCUUGAUUUAAUAUGAUACAUUGUGACCUCUGUUGAAGCAGCCCCCCCCCCCCUCUGUUAUUGUACGAUGAGGAAUGUGUUUUUUUAAAGUUUGCCUAAACAUUAAGGAACCAAACUUUAACCACUGUCCUAUCAAAGAAAACUACAGCUAUUGUAAGACUUGUCAAGCGUUCUUGUCCAAUCGUACCGUUAUCACAUUGUUCAUUGACAUGGACUUGGUCUUGUCCGACUGGCUGUUAGUUUCUCUUACUCUCGUCACAGGCAACGACAGAGAAGGUGCUGGAAUGACUUGUGAUGAGCUCCUCAAAUCUGAAGUUUAAUGUUUUCCUUAUUGCCUUUCCCAAUUUGUUGUUGUUGUUGUUGUUGUUAUUAUGAUGAUUAUGCAACGUGGUGCCCGUCCACUGUGAGGAGAGUGUUGAAUAUAGUUAGGCCUGUGGUCUAAUUUGUGUUUUUGGACAGAAAUGGAAUUCCGAUUGUAGAACUAACAGGUACCAGUGAAAUGUCUCAUCAGACCACGCCACCAAACCUUUGAAACUGAUUUAGGAAGUUAUUUAUUUAUACUUUAUUAUUUGUUUUAUAACCAAUAAAACUGUAAUUCAACAGUG